UAUCGUUCUUCACCGGACCGGCUGCCGAUAUCCCGUCGUCGCGGCUUCCUAAAUCCCGAUAUAAAAUGAGGACUCUUGAACAGACUGUGCUCGUCUUCUCGAUCUGUUUUGUGGGGGAUUCGAAAGGGCAUUUUGCGGUGCUUAGGCAUCGAUUUACUCUUCAAUCCUUGGGCGUCUGGCGAUAAAUAUACGGUUUUUUAGGUUAUCAUCAGUCACCCAACGUGCAGGUGCCAGGACCAGUUGUUAUUGAUUAUGUUCUUAUGGCAAAUUGUUAACUAGUCGGUAUGCAAUUGGCUGAAGACAGACUAUGAACAAAGAGCAGAACCUUAUCAUACAACUGGAAUAUGAACACACAAGGAUUUAGUGAAGAAGACUGAGAUGCAAAACUUUGACUGUCAACAGUUAAAAUUCUUUUGCUGUAAUUUCAUGUGCAUUUGGCAACCUUCCAAGCAACAGACAGAACAGAAUCUUGCCAUACUUUUUGUAAUGCAGAGUAAUCUUCAAUCAAGAGGUUUUGUGAAACUUUGGUCAUAAACAGAUCACUAAGUUCUAUGUGUCAAUUAACUGAUUCUUAUCAUCUCCAAAUUCCUGAGUCAUUCAGUUUGAUAAUUUGUUUUCUGUGGACUAUGCAUGAAAAUUUACAUUGAAAUGAAUUUCUGCAUGUUCAUCUACUGAGAAACUUGCCAAACUCAUUACAAUUUUUUUAGAUGCUUUACAUGGUUGGAAUUGAACUGCACAACUAACCCCACCAAGAUCAUUAUAAAUAUAAGAAGCAUUUCUUUCAAAAGAUGAAGAACUGAUGGGACUGGGGCCUCAAAAGACUCAUGUAUGUGAUCAGGUCUCCUAUUUUUUGUCUCUUAAUAUCAUCAUGUAGUAAUAUAGCCUCUCUAUAGUAUAAUGUAUGGAAAAAAAAAAACUCCUUUCAACAGUCUGAUUUGUUCUUGCAAUCUAUGAUUCCUUUGAAGGCAAAAUUGUGCAAUUGUGCUUGUAUUAGACUUGGUGUAAAGUUAGUCAUUUAUGAAUGAUAGUAAGAACUAAGCAUACACUGGUAACUUGUAUGAAGGAGGAUCGCAGUGCUUCAUGUAAAUUCCAUUAUGUUAACUUCAGUUUUGCUCCUGUACUUUAGUCAUUCAUUAUCAAAAGUAUCAUCAGCAGACCUUACAUUUCUUGUCACCAUCAAACCUACAUAGAGUCCACUCCUACCAACCUCAGUGAGAAGUGGGCAGACCUUACAUUUCAACUUGGGUUUCUCUUGAAAAUGAUAGGAUUGCAAACAUAAAUAACUCUCCCCCUAUUUUUUUUUUCUUUUCCAGUGGCAUAAGUGAUUGGAGAAAAGCUCCAUAGUCCUGAAAGCAGGGUGAGCAGGUAUUAAGUAAAAAAAUUCUUUCUUUCUUUCUUUUGUGUGUACUCUAGCUUUUCCAGUUUGGAAGGUCUUGCAUGCUUAUUGCCAGGGGAUCCUCCUACCUGUAAAAAAAAGGCUACAUUGUGCAACCUGUGUCUGAAGGAUCUCUACUAAUGAUUAUAAUUUACUAAUGAGAUUAAGCUAUAAUUUUCUAAAACUCAAAACUAAAUAAUAUUGCAUUCUGCACUGUCACUAACACUGUUAGGCAUCUAUCUCCAGAAAGGGGCAUGAUAUCAACAUCAUGCAUUCUUUAUGUUAAUUUAUUUGUUGUGGAAUGUCUCUGCAGGGCCUAAUUAAGGUGCAUAAACUAAUAUAGGCAAAUAAACUUAGCCUGUCUUUUUCUUCUUUCGAUGAAUUCAGCACACUGGUGAGUACUAGUGGGAGUAGAUGCCAUUGUGCUGCCUAGGCGUGAUACCCUAGCAAAACCACUCACUGUCUAGGCCAAUUUUUUUAAAGCCAACCUCUCAGAAAGAAGCAUGGCAGAGGAAGAAGAAAGCUAAUAAGGGAAAUGAAUGAGUCAUGUUGGUUGGUCUGGUAGGGGACAUGGGCUAGGGUUCUUGAGAUUCUCAGAGCCCCAGCGAAUAAGGGAAAAUGUCAAGUGGAGAAUUUUGCACUAAGCUUUGCUCCCUCGAUGGUUAUCAAUUAUCGUGUGAGGAAAUUUUUUGCUGCUAUGUCUUACAUCAGUGAAUUAAUAUUAUGAAUGAUUAGAACUAGAUUCUUGCUGAGAUUUGGUUGGAUUAUACCAUAACAACUAUGUUUUCUUCCUGUCAAGUUUGUCAUUGAGUGGGUAACAGAGACUUGAGCUGAAAUUUUGUAAUUGAUCAAAAUUGAAACAUUAAUUAAUUGCACAAUUGACAUUCAGCACCCAUUCACAAAUCAAUCUUCUCCAUAGUGCUUUUGUCUUUUGUUUUUAGCAUAUGAUAUUCUAAGAAGUAAUAAGCUCUCAUUGUGAUCAUCAUGAUGUUAAGAAAAAGUUGACCCUUAGUGCUUAAUUUGUGAUCGAUGUUUUUAAUUGGCAAAAAUAAUAAUAGGAAACGUUUGAUGCCGUUGCAUGAAAAAAAAAAUUGUUUAUUUUGCUAAAGGAAUUAGAAUGAGUGUUGGAAUUUGCAUGCUCCAUAGUUUAAUAAGCUGAUCAUAAAGGAGGCAAUUAAAGAUCUUCUAAUUGGUUUGGUGAAGGAACACUUGCCUUUUAUCUACUAAAAUUUAGUGUUAUCUCCUAGCAAAGUUAAAUUAUGUAAUAUAUCAUUGUCGGUUCACAAUUCAAUAUCAAGAAAAAAUAAGUCUACAAUUAAUUAUUGCAGGAGUCAGAUCACCACAAUUCAAUUAACUAAUUCCAUUCAAUUAUAAAAUAAUCCGAUGCACAAACUUCCGUCAAUAUAAAAUUUUAGGAAGGAAUUGGACUAUAUUGAAUCUAUUAUUUCA